GGGGGGGGGGGGGGGGGGGGGGGGGGGGUGGAGGGGGGGGGGGGGGGGGGGGGGGGUGGCUCUGGGGGUGGCGAGUGGCGGGGGGGGGGGGAAUACAGCGGAAUCUACCUUUUCGUGGGGGAUGAGGUGGGGGAACUUACGCUAAUACAGCGUACGACCUACGGGUGGACGUGGGGGACCGCAAGGCCUCACGCGAUUAGAUGAGCCGAGGUCCGAUUAGCGAGUUGGCGGGGUAAUGGCCCACCACGGCGACGAUCGGUAGCGUGUCUGAGAGGAUGAUCAGCCACACUGGAACUGAGACACGGUCCAGACUCCUACGGGAGGCAGCAGUGGGGAAUAUUGGACAAUGGGCGCAAGCCUGAUCCAUCCAUACCGCGUGGGUGAAGAAGGCCUUCGGGUUGUAAAGCCCUUUUGUUGGGAAAGAAAUCCUGUCGAUUAAUACUCGGUGGGGAUGACGGUACCCAAAGAAUAAGCACCGGCUAACUUCGUG
rnacentral:rRNA from 1 species